rnacentral:rRNA from 1 species
AGUGAACGCUGGCGGUAGGCCUAACACAUGCGAGUCGAACGGCAGCACAGUAAGAGCUUGCUCUUACGGGUGGCGAGUGGCGGACGGGUGAGGAAUACAUCGGAAUCUACUUUUUCGUGGGGGAUAACGUAGGGAAACUUACGCUAAUACCGCAUACGACCUACGGGUGAAAGCAGGGGAUCUUCGGACCUUGCGCGAUUGAAUGAGCCGAUGUCGGAUUAGCUAGUUGGCGGGGUAAAGGCCCACCAAGGCGACGAUCCGUAGCUGGUCUGAGAGGAUGAUCAGCCACACUGGAACUGAGACACGGUCCAGACUCCUACGGGAGGCAGCAGUGGGGAAUAUUGGACAAUGGGCGCAAGCCUGAUCCAGCCAUACCGCGUGGGUGAAGAAGGCCUUCGGGUUGUAAAGCCCUUUUGUUGGGAAAGAAAAGCAGCAGGUUAAUACCCCGCUGUUCUGACGGUACCCAAAGAAUAAGCACCAGCUAACUUCGUG